rnacentral:piRNA from 1 species
CAGGUCUUGCAGCUUGCUGGUUAGCCUA